rnacentral:rRNA from 1 species
UACGUAGGGGGCAAGCGUUGUCCGGAAUCAUUGGGCGUAAAGAGCGUGUAGGCGGCCCGAUAAGUCCGCCGUGAAAGUCCAGGGCUCAACCCUGGAAUGCCGGUGGAAACUGUCGGGCUGGAGUCCGGAAGAGGCGAGUGGAAUUCCUGGUGUAGCGGUGAAAUGCGCAGAUAUCAGGAGGAACACCAAUGGCGAAGGCAGCUCGCUGG